GGGCAAUUCACCUUUUCUUUAAAUACUCAUGUCACAUUUGUGCUGUUGCCAAUGCUUCUCAGACCCUCCAGAUGAGGACAUUUCCCUGAGGAGGUGGCUAUGAUGGUAGAACUUACAAGACUUCAGUGGACAUAAGGAGACGGGGUCAAGGUGGCAGGCAAGAUGGUCAAAUAGAAGUAGCUUCAGUCUGCAGCUCCCAGUGAGAUCAACACAGAAGGAAACAAUGCCAAGAAUACGUUAAUCUAAACCCAUGAUGUUUCUACAUCUCAAAGAACAGAGAGAAAAGGAAACUGGAGAGAGGCCAGAAGUGACCAACUCUAUUCCCUCAUUUCUGUGUUAUACUCCCUUUGUCUAAUCUUCCCUACCCUACCAGGUGGUUUAAGAAUUUUAUCCUUUCUCCAGACUAGAAGAGGAAGUGGGGGCCGGAAUUAGGUGUAUACAAAUUGUUGGAAAGCCUUUGUGUGGAUUUGGAGGGCUGAAGUAGAGUAUCAUUUUUACAAAGCAGCCCAAGCCUCUAAUCUGAGCAGGAAGAUUCACACUCAUUCUCUGGCAUGAGUCCUAUCAGGAGGAUCAAUGAAGCCAAGGCUGUAGAAAUAAAUAAUUAAUCUCUCCACCCAAGGAGGCUAGUAAACAAUAUUCAAUACGUGAAUACUGAGUUCUGCCAAGAGGAAGAAGCAUAUAAACCAGGCAACUGCUGAACGCAUUGCCAAAAAGGGAGACUUACGCAUCAUUCACUAAAGCUUUCCAAAAACUAAAUCAGAUCCAAGAACAGAUAAACUCCUGCAGAAUGACAAUGGUGGAGAAAUUGACCUCCCAGCAUUGCAGACUUACAUCAGUUGUUCUGAUGUUCUUAGUUAUAUCAGAUUCCUUCCAGAAUCUUCUAAAUAUAUCAGACGGUCAGACACAACCCCAGGCCCUAAUAAAAAACCCUGAUGCUGGCCUACAGAUGUGCAAUUUAAUAAACUUUCUCCAUGAUUCUGGUACACAUCCAACAUAGAAGAACCACUUAGUACUUCUCUCUGGCUCAUAUUUCUUCCACUAUUUACUAAAUGUCGACCUUAGGCUAAUUUCUUAAAUCCGUGUCCAAGGGUUUCUUUAAAUGGAGAUAAUAUUACCUUAUCGUCAAUCUAUUGUAAGAAUUAGAUAAAAGGGUGCAUGCGAAGGACCAAGCAGUGUAGAUGUCACACUGUAAGUGCUUAAUACGUGUCUCAGCUUAUUAUUCUGCAAGAGAAGUUAACUACCUAAUAAAUUGUGUAGAUAUCAAGUGCCCCUCAUGGCACUUUAAUCAAAGAAAUCUGUUGUUAAUUCCUAUUGUAAACCUCAGUUGCUACAUCAGCCAGCUCUUCAAAGGGAUAAAUAUGACAUUAUUAUUUUCUAAAUGACUUUUAUUUUCUAAAUGCUCUUAGAGUGUUUGAUCCCCCGGAAGCUAUCAUCAUUAAUGAUUUCUCGAGUAUACUGAGAGUAAUGUUUAGGUGUAAAGGAAGUGAAAAGUAAACAUGAAUGCUUCUUUGCUCUUCAAAGAUGAAGGUUCUGAGAUCAAAGAGCCUGAGUGAUGUGACCACAUCCCUAAAGAUGGUGCCAAAUGCCGCCCUACUGAUAAGGCUGCUGUGGGGACCGUGCACCUGUGUUCUUCUCUUAAUACUUACUCUGGGUCUCUGUUGACAAGGAACAUUUUGAAGUUUCUAAGAAUUAUUUAAUAACCCUAAUAAUCAUUGUUUCUUUAGUGACUCAAGUCUACACCUGUAAUGCUCAGGUUUUUCUUUCUUUUUUCAAUCGGGGAACGUAUUUUUUUUUUCUUGUAGUCUCUUAAAUAACAGAUUAUAUAAUAAAAAAGAGAAACUUUCUCAAGAAGGAAGCUAUCUGCACUGCUCUGCUGAACUCUAAGCCACCUCUGCUACUAAAACAGAUAGUAGCCCCUGUUGGGGUCUCUGGAGCAGGGAAAUCCAAGCUGUCAUGGAGCAUGUAUUCAGUAACCAAAGAGGAUUCUACAAGUUUUGUUUUUCUGGCUAGGUGACUUCAGCCCAUCAAAGACAAAGAUGAAAUAAAAUAAUCUGAAUGAUCA
rnacentral:lncRNA from 10 species